AUUGAAACACCGAUUCCAGUACGAUCAUCAAAGUUAAGCAAUGUCGUGCCUGGUCAGUACCUCGAUGGGUGACAGCUUGCGAAUACCGGGU